CCCCUCCUCCUCUCGUCGCCUUCGCGCGCGUGAUCAUGUCCCACAGCUGGCUUGCAUCGCCGCCGUCCUCCUGGAGCCCUCUACCACUCCGUCAGCUCCCCCCGUCAGCUCUCGUCGCCGCGUGCCCACGGGCAAGCUAUAGCCGACCGAGGCUUUAAUGGCGUUCGGAUCCUUCUCCUCUUGUCCUCGAGCUGGCCCUCACCUGCGUGAGCCCUGCCCCUCGUCUGUUCCCUCUUCUUCGCCUUCCCCGAGCUCAUGCGCGAGCACACGCGUCUGCGGCGACGCCAGCUCGGCCUCCUUGCCCCGCGGCUAUUUAAGCCCUCCCUCGAGUCGUUCGAGCACCUCAUCAGCCUCCCUCACUCCUAGCUCCCUCCCCGUCCACUCGCCUGAGCUCCAGAAGCUCUUCUUGCCACUCAUCACCGCCAUGGCCGCCCCUGGCCUCCGCCUAAAUUCGCAGCAACCCGAGCCCUUCUCCUCUCCUAGCUACUACCAGAGAGCGCCUAGACCUCCCCGAGCUUUCCCCGCCCUCCUCCUUGCCCUCUGGUGGCCUCUCGCCGUGCUUCCCAUCACCGACCAAAGCUGUUGUCCGCUGUGGUCGCGGCCCCGCUCGUCCCCGCGUUCUCCGGUGAGCGUGCUGCCCCCAUUCGGGUGCGCCUCUCCGCGCGGAGCAUUUCGGUGGCCGGGGCGUCGCCUGAGUCGUCCCGAGCCGGCCGGACGAGCGCCGGCGCCGUGCUCCUCCUCUGUUCUGCGGGCGCGCCGUCGGGAUGGAGAAAGAAGAAGGGAAGGGAGGAGAGAGAGAGGGAGUGGAUAAGGCGGGCCCCACCAGUCACCCACACCGGAGCCGGCCCCGCGUUGACCCCAAGUGCCAACGUGGAUAAGUGACGGGUCCCACCCCGCGGGACCCGCACGUCAGCGACCCACGCCCGGCCCGGCCACUGUCCACGGGUUAAGUGGAAACGCAUUUCCCAUAAAAACGUUUUCCACCCGAAGGCGCUUUCUGUUUUUCUGUCCAGGCCCAGAUUUUGAAGUUUUUCGUUACAGAUGGGUCCCUGGCAGAAGCACCUCAUAUCUUUUUAACCACAACUCCAAAUGAGCCCCCUCCGAGAGAGUACGUUUUCCGGCGAUCCUUUCCACGAGUUUCUCGCACUUUCUCCUGGUGAUUUCCUCCACCCCAGGCAAGCCACACCCUCCAUUUGCAUGAUUGCAAUGCAUUGACAUGGUUUAAAUUAUUUGAACUUGUUUAAAAUAUUGCUUUAGCUACACGACUUUGUGCAUGGCAAUUUCUCGGAGUUGUAUUUUGAUCUUGUUAUUGCCAUGAUGUUGCUUGGAGUUGGACUUUUAUUUUGCAGCUUAUGUGGUUGACAUGUUGCCAUUGGAUUAUUAGUGGCUUAUGUUAUGAUGGUGGUGUUGGGUAUGAUAUUUUUGGAGUAUUACUUUGGAUAUCAUGUUGCCUUUGGAUUAUUAGUGGUUAGUAUGAUUAUUUUUCAUGAUGGUAUAUGAUAUUUUUGGAGUAUUACUUUGGAUAUCAUGCUGCCUUUGGAUUAUUAGUGGCUAGUAUGAUUAUUUUUCAUGAUGGUAUUUGAUAUUAUUUUGAAGUAUUACUUUGGAUAUCAUGCUGCCUUUGGAUUAUUAGUGGUUAGUAUGAUUAUUUUCAUGAUGGUAUGUGUUAUUAUAUUUUGGAGUAUUACUUUGGAUGUCAUGUUGCCUUCGGAGUAUUAGUGGCUUUUAUGAUUAGUUUCAUGGUGGUUUUGGAUAUAUCUUGGAGUAUUUGCUUUAGAUGUCAUACUGCCUUUGGAUUAUUAGUGGUUAGUAUGAUUAUUUUCAUGAUGCUAGUUGAUGUUCUGUUGCUUGGAGUAUUAUUUUCGGAGAUGAUGUUUACAUGUGGAUCUCAGCCGAAUAGCUUUAUUCUUGUUAUUGGAGUAGUAGGAGUAUUGUUUUCGGAAUCAUCAUGACAGUAGUGUUGUGCUACCCUUGGAGUAUUUUGAGAUGAUGAUAUUAUGCUUGGAUUAUUUGUUGGAUCUAUGAUUUGGAUUAUAGUUUUAUAGUUGAUAUUGGAGUAGCAGUUACCACAGCUAUAUUUUUGGGGAUAAAUUCUGUCAUUAAGUUGGUCAGGCGCCGCCGAACCGGGCUUUUCGAGUGCAACCACACUUGCCUUUAUGGGAAGGCCCUAAUGCGGUCUAUUGUCGUGCCUCUCGCCAGUGCCUCCAACUAGGGAAGGUUAUUGUAACACCCUCGAUGCGACUAUAUCUCCCACGUGUCGAGACACGAC